UUUGAAUAUUUAACCAGCUUUGCAUCCCUGGAAUAAACCCUGCUAGGUCAUGGUAUAGAAUUCUUUUUACAUACUACUAAAUUCUAUUUGCUAACAUUUUUGUCACCGAGUUUUGCAUCUAUGUUCAUGAGGGAUACUGAUCUAUAGUUUUGCUUUUUUUGUACUGUGUGAGUCUGGUCUUGAUAGUGGGCCAACACUAACUUCACAAAAUGAAUUGGGAACUAUUUUCUCAUCUCUGGAUGAAACUGUGUAGAAUUGGUGUCAAUACUUUAAAUAUUUGGUAGAAUUCGCCAACGAAAUAGUUGGGCCAGUGUCUUCUCUCUUUCCCUCCAACUCUCCUCCAACAUCUUACUUUCUCAAGUCCUUUCACCAUUGGGCAAGGUCUGCUGUCUAUAAUAAAUUCCUUAUUCCAUAAUACUCAUAGUAUCUGCCUCUAUGAUUAAGUCCCAACUUUCUUAAGCCAUUUGCUAUUAAACUGAAAUAAUAAAUAUAGUUUAUUUUGACCAAGCACUUUAAACUUUUUUUUUUGUCUUUUAGGGCCGCACCCUGGCAUAUGGAGGUUCCCAGGCUAGGGGUCCACUUGGAACUGUAGCUGUUGACCUACGCCAGAGCCAUGUCUGCAACCUACACCACAGUUCACGGCAACGCCAGAUCCUUAACCCACUGAGUGAGGGCAGGGAUCAAACCUGGGUCCUCAUGGAUGCUAGAAGAUAUGUUAAAGAAGUUAAGUAAGCUGUAAAAAAACAGAGUAAGGAUCAGAGGCAGGAUGGAAAUCAAACUCUCAGCCAUGAUACUCUCCCGAAGUUCUUGCUCUUUCUUGGCAUCUCAUUUCUCUUUCAGAAGACCGGGAGUGUGCUGCUAAUGGAAAACAUCUAUUUGAGUCUGAGUUACGUCCAUCAUGUCCAGUAUAACCCGUGCAUUCAAUUUUGCUAGCUUUCUCUUUAUACCCACAUCUUUCCCUUUUUCUUCUUUUCUCUGCCCAUUGAGGAGUUUUUGCCCCUGAAUUUUUUUCUCCAUCUAAAUGCCCCCUUUCCUCCCUAUUGCCUUUUAUAUACUGGGAAAGUAGGCGACACUAACUGAUACAUCCACUUCCAGGUCUGCUGGGCCUCACAGAAGUAAAGCAGAGGCAGAAGAACAAGGACGAUACUGGCUGGGGAGGUGGCAGGAUGGCUGGGACGGCGUGCUUCAUAGAAGGUGUGUCCAUUAGAGUAGGAACCAGUGGGGAUGUGUCAGGCCAGCAGCCAUAAACGUGCUUAAAAACCAGCAGAAAAUGGUGAAGAGUUACUCUGAGAAACUGCUUCUCUGGUUUUGGCUUUUUUUUUUUUUCUCACUCUGGGGUCAGUCCGUUCAUUUAUUAAAAUGUCUACCAUGUCUUAAGAAACAGCACCAAUGCACUAAAAUAAGCAACAUUUCUGAUGCAGAAAUGAACAUUUAAGCAGAUGCAGCCCAGAUCCAUCUCAUUCUGUGUGUGUGUGUGCACAUGUGUGUGUGCAUGUGUGUGUGUAUUUAUUCUUUUCCCUGAGUGCCUUUGGUUGGUAAAAGCCAUCAAAUAUCAUCGGGAAUUAUCACUAGUUUUUUGAACAGCCCUGAAGAAUUAAAGGGAGAGAGUAAGAGAGAAAGAAUAAGAGGAAGAGAAAGAAAAAGAGAGAAAGAGAGAGAGAGGUUAAGCUCAAAGGCACAGAGAGCGAAAUGGACCAGAUUAUACAAAAUUAAAAAGCAAAUACGGGCAGACAAUUUGUGCCGAGUGAUUGCAAGCAAUUACAGUCCGGCUUUUCUGGAGGGAAGAUGGGGGAGGGGGUUAUUUCAGCUUAAAAGGAGACUUUAUUCAUUCCUGAUCAGCUUCUCCUACCAUUCUCUCUUUUAUUCUUGGAUAUCAAUUUAAAAAAAAAAAUCAGCUUUCAGAUGUUCCAUGUCCACCCCUGCAAAUCCACUCCUGGGCAGACAGUGAGAGUUUAAGCUUCCCAUCGGUUCUUUCUAUAGCCCUGAAAACCAAUUUGUUCAUAAAGAAUAAAAUAAGGGGGGGGGAGGGUGGAAAACACAACAAGAGCAUGUGUUUCUUUUAGAGGAGAGCUUCAAUUUUACUAUAAUUGUCUAAAGACAGAGCUGCUUUGAUCUGAAGAAUUAUUAUUGUGCCUCAAAUGCCGGCUGCUAAUGUCACAGCUGUGCUGGGGCUUGGUCACGCCAAGGGGCUUGGGGACCAACUUAGUCCCUGACCUGCCUCUGGGUCCCUCUUUCCUUAUCUUUCCUUUGUCCACAAGGGAAAGUUUGUUUCCUGGUAUGUCCAUGGCUCUGUUGGUUUUAUCCAGGGUCCUGGGGAGGCGGGAGCCUAGCAGGGGUGACAUAAUGAGGGGCCACUGAGGUUGGGCAGGAGGGAGCAGGCAGAGCUGGAUGUAAACAUGCCCAGGACAGGUGAUAUGGUCACUAACCCAGAGAACCUGGCUGCUCUUGGUCUCCCAGUGCAGGAAAGAGCAGCGCGGAAGAGGGCCCCCUUGCCUUCCAGAAACCCGAGAAAAUUCACUGCCUUUCCCAGAUUUCAAUUCCCCGUUAUUUUCCCUCUUUCCAGCUUAGGCUGCACUGAAGCAAAGAGCAGCUCAAGAGCAGAGUUAAACAAUUUUCUUUUAGAAGAAGAUGGGCGGAAAAAACUAUAUCUAGGGUCUGAGAGCCGAGCCAUCUUUGGCUCAUGUUUUCCUUCCCAAAGCCGAAAGAAAGAACCAGAGGGCUUGUUCUCCCAAAUUGCUCCCUGGGUGGGCUGGGCAAGAAGGAUGGGCCCUUGGCUGCUGGAAUUGCCCUGUCUGCUCCUCACCUCUGCCAAGGGCCUCUGAGGCAUCACUGGAGACUGGAACGCUGGCGGGUCAAGUAUUCCUUCUCUGGCUUCCCACUGCCUACAGUGCCAUUUAGACUUCCUAGCCUGGCACUUGAGGCUAUGCAGGUAAGCUGCCCACAAACCUUCCUGCAGCCCCAUCCUGCUCUGCCACCUUAAGUGAUGGCACCUCACCUCUGUUUCAGAUGCUCUGGCAAAUUCUUGCUGCUGGGCCUUUGCUUAUGCCUUUCCACCUGCCUGGAAUAUGACCUCUCCCUUCUCACCCCUCUCCUGAGUCCUCACCCCUUCUUGGCUCCCCUUCAAGCCCAAAGUGCCAAUGAGACAGAUGGGUAAGAAAAUUACCACCAGUGGACCGGGAAACACAAUUUUGGAGACACAGAUGCCAAACUGGGCUGCAUUCUAGCCCAGGGGGCCUGUGACACUAAAGAGAGGACAGACAUGGAGGGAGAACCUCAGCCCCAGCCUCCAAGCUGGGGUUUCUCAUGCUGGUAGAACGGAGAGAUUUCUUUCAAAGAAAAUGCAGUAAAACAUAAGAAUGUUUGUGAGUGCUUAGGUUCUGAAGAUUCAGUCGGAGAAACACUGGCUUGAGAAACAAACAAAACCUCAGCAACAUGAAAAUAUAAACAUCACUGUAGCUCUACAAAGGAAGAGAUGCAAAUUCCCCACAAAAACCAUUCCUUCCAAUCGCGUUUCCUUGAAACAAAAACUACUUCUGGAAGACUUUUAUUAGCUAUGCAAGUGUGGGCCACUUACUUCUCUGAGCCUUGGUUUCCUCAUCCAUAAAAGGAAGAGAAGUGAGAGUACCUACCUCAAAGUGUUACCAGAGGAUAAAAUGAGGUAACACACGUGGCGAAGCGCUUACGUCAUCCCUGGCACCUGGUCAAUUCUCAACCCGCGGCAGCUGUUAUCCAACAGAUCCUGUUGGUUUCUGGGAAAUCCAAGGGCCUCAUCCUCAGUUCCUCACUCCUCCUUUAGCUCCAGGAGAUCUGACAUCCUGGGGCUUAUAGGGAGUGGGCAUAAGGAUGCUUAGGAGACUGAGGCUUUGAGGAAGGCUGAGUUGCAGCCCCAGGAAGCACAAGGAGGCACAGAGAAAAACGUGAAGUUUGAGUAAAGGCAGCGGCGGCGGGGGGCGAGGGGUGAACUGGUUUUCCAGGGUGAUGUGGGUAGGAAGUGACAGGUACAGAAUACCUGGAGAGACGCCUUAAGGGUGAGGGAGUCUUCACUGCAGAGCUGGAGGAAGAUCUAGUUCAAGAGAAGAAUGGAAAAGGUUCUGGUUAAAGAGAAAUGAUCUCCACACCUCAGUAAACCUUGAGGUAAGAAGCAGGAGUCAGGCAAGGAGGGAGAGACACGAAAGUAUAGAGAGCUCAAGGAAAUCUAGAGAACCAUUUAGGGGCAACGUUGAGAAUAGAGGGUGAGGAGGCAGUACGUCUCCAGAAGAACAACACAGCUUGGUUGACUUUGCUAUCAACUUCCAUUAACUGCCCAGUAACUUUGGUGCUAGAAGAGGAGUGAGGAAGCCCAUGCAGAUUUGUACACCAUCUAUAAAUGGUGACCCUGAACCUCCUGCUCUCCUUCCUUGCAGGGAAAGGGGCUAGAACAGAAACAGAGAAGAAGUUGUAAAAAUGAACAGAAUUUUGGCAGCAGAGAAGUAUUCAAUAGAAAGGGCACUAAUGGCUGCAACUUACUUUGACAUCAAUCAUAAAAAAUAAAAGGAUAGACUGAUGGAUGAGCAGAAGGAAGAAGAGAUGGACAGACUGUGAUAAAGCAAAUAGGUUCCAAUGUUAAUAGCUGAAUGUAGAUGGUAAGUGUAUGGGUGUUUGCUGCAAAAUUUUUUUCAGUUUUCCAUGUCUUAGCGAAUUUUCUUUUUUCUUUCUUUCUUUUUUCUUUCUUUUCUUUUCUUUUUUUUUUUUUUUGGUCUUUUUAGGGCUGCACCUAUGGCAUAUGGAAGUUCCUAGGCUAGGGGCUGAACUAGAGAUACAGCUUCUGGCCUAUGCCACAGCCACAGCAACAUUGGGUCUGAGUCAUAUCUGUGACCUACACGACAGCUCACGAAUACUAGUCAGAUUCGUUACCCCUGACCCACAAUGGGAACUCCAAUUUUUAUUUUUUUAGAAAAUUUUCAUAAUAAAAAAUUAGAAAAAAUUAGGCAAUAGUGUCCAAAAUAACCCAUACCCUGAUGGCCCCAAGACAAGUUGUCCCUAGAGAGAAGUUGGCAGAUUGGUGAGAGGGUAGAUUUUCCUCAACUUUCCUCCCUUGUCUUUGAGCCCCCUGGUGCUGUCCACACACCUCUCCUGAGGCUGGACAACCUGCUAAGAAUGUUGCUUGUAAAGAUUUAAGCUAUGAGCCCACCCUGUGGAAUCUGUAUUUUAUCCAAUCUCUCCUGAUGAGUGAUACAAGUUGACAAAUAAAUAAAUCUUCAGAAGUGGAAUCUGGCCAAUGGAGAAGAAGCUUUAGAUGAUACAUGAGUUGGGACUAGGGAUGGUUGCAAGCGCCAGGCCAAAACAAGGGUCACUUAAACAAAAUGAAGUUUGUUUCAUGCUCACACAAACAAAGUCCAAAUGGAAGGUGCCCAAGACUCUCUACCUCAAGCAUCUCGAGAACC
rnacentral:lncRNA from 1 species